AUAAUAAUUAGUCUUUUUAAUGAAGGCUGGAAUGAAUGAUUGGACGAAGUAAAUUCUGUCUCAUUUUAAUUAAAAUUUAAAUUUAAUUUUUAAGUUAAAAAGCUUAAAUAUUAUUAAAGGACGAGAAGACCCUAUAGAGCUUUAUAAUAUAAAAUUAAUAAAUUUUAAUUUUGUUUUAUUAAUUAAAAAUUAUUUUGUUGGGGCGACAGGAAAAUUUAUUUAACUUUUUUGAUUUUAAUACAUUAAUUUAUGAUUUUUUGAUCCUAAUUUUUAGAUUAUCAGAUUAAGUUACCUUAGGGAUAACAGCGUUAUUUUUUUUUAGAGUUCAUAUUAAUAAAAAAGAUUGC
rnacentral:rRNA from 1 species